UUAUGGUAACAAAGGAGCUGGAAAACUUAUAAGUUGAUUGAUGAAAAAUAAUACCAUGGAUUUGAUUAUCUUGUCAUGGAGAGAGAUGUGGUGUGGACACUAUCAGCUUUGGUUCCACUGAAGUUCUAUCAGAUUUCGCUUCAAAAAUUUUGGACCUUUGUUACUAGGUACAUAAACAUCUGAGGUGUUUAUUGGAGCUCUUUGCCUAGAACUGAUAAUUGGAUUCAUGGUAUUCUGGAGAACAAGGCACUCUCAUGGCCUUCAUAGCAUAGAAUGACUUCUGGCCUUGUACCUCCUCGUCACAAUGCCAAAUGAGUUGGCUCUGUGUGCUACAAGAGUUCUGGAGAACUAUCUAUGGAAACUACAAUGUAAUGACUAGCAAUAACUACUGUACGUAUAAGGAAAUGACUGCAAACCACACAGAUUCAUCCUGUUAAAUUCAAAGAUCAUUUAUUCAACUUUCCCAUAACCAAAUCACAAAAACACCUGUGGCUACUCUCAAGUCAACUGAUGCAAAGAGAAUUGUAAUGGAAGAGGGGCCAAGUGAAGAGAGAGAACAGUGGAAUCAUUUGUGGCUAAAAUGCCUUACUUUUGGAA
rnacentral:lncRNA from 1 species